rnacentral:pre_miRNA from 1 species
GGGGGGAGGUCGGAUCCUGGGCUGUGUCCAGGCCCCCUGUGCUCCGGAGCCUGCGCUGUUGGAUUCGCGCUCCCGGGCCCGCAGCCCCCU